UCCUCCGUGGCGCAAUUGGCUAGCGCGUUCGACUGUUAUUUAAUGGAACGAGUAGUUGCUCAGUAUAAUCGAGAGGUUGGUGGUUCAAGCCCACCCGGAGGAG
rnacentral:tRNA from 1 species